UCUCCACCCGAGACUCAGUGAAAUUGAACUCGCUGUGAAGAUGCAGUGUACCCGCGGCAAGACGGAAAGACCCCGUGAACCUUUACUAUAGCUUGACACUGAACAUUGAGCCUUGAUGUGUAGGAUAGGUGGGAGGCUUUGAAGCGUGGACGCCAGUCUGCGUGGAGCCGACCUUGAAAUACCACCCUUUAAUGUUUGAUGUUCUAACGUGGACCCGUAAUCCGGGUUGCGGACAGUGUCUGGUGGGUAGUUUGACUGGGGCGGUCUCCUCCUAAAGAGUAACGGAGGAGCACGAAGGUUGGCUAAUCCUGGUCGGACAUCAGGAGGUUAGUGCAAUGGCAUAAGCCAGCUUGACUGCGAGCGUGACGGCGCGAGCAGGUGCGAAAGCAGGUCAUAGUGAUCCGGUGGUUCUGAAUGGAAGGGCCAUCGCUCAACGGAUAAAAGGUACUCCGGGGAUAACAGGCUGAUACCGCCCAAGAGUUCAUAUCGACGGCGGUGUUUGGCACCUCGAUGUCGGCUCAUCACAUCCUGGGGCUGAAGUAGGUCCCAAGGGUAUGGCUGUUCGCCAUUUAAAGUGGUACGCGAGCUGGGUUUAGAACGUCGUGAGACAGUUCGGUCCCUAUCUGCCGUGGGCGCUGGAGAACUGAGGGGGGCUGCUCCUAGUACGAGAGGACCGGAGUGGACGCAUCACUGGUGUUCGGGUUGUCAUGCCAAUGGCACUGCCCGGUAGCUAAAUGCGGAAGAGAUAAGUGCUGAAAGCAUCUAAGCACGAAACUUGCCCCGA
rnacentral:rRNA from 1 species